rnacentral:rRNA from 1 species
AAUCAACGCUGGCGGCGUGCCUAACACAUGCAAGUCGAACGCGAAAGCGGAGCAAUCCGCAAGUAGAGUGGCAAACGGGUGAGUAGCGCGUGGGCGACCUACCUCUGAGUGGGGGAUAACCUUCCGAAGGGAGGGCUAAUACCGCAUGACAUCCCGUGUUUAGAUACACGGACAUCAAAGCCGGGGAUCGCAAGACCUGGCGCUUGGAGAGGGGCCCGCGUCCGAUUAGCUAGUUGGUGAGGUAACGGCUCACCAAGGCUCCGAUCGGUAUCCGGCCUGAGAGGGCGGACGGACACACUGGGACUGAGACACGGCCCAGACUCCUACGGGAGGCAGCAGUGGGGAAUUGUUCGCAAUGGGCGCAAGCCUGACGACGCAACGCCGCGUGGAGGAUGAAGAUCUUCGGAUCGUAAACUCCUUUCGACCGAGAUGAAUUUCCGCCGACCUAAUACGUUGGCGGGGUGACAGUAU